rnacentral:rRNA from 2 species
ACGCUGGCGGCGUGCCUAAUACAUGCAAGUCGAACGAGUUCUGAUUAUUGAAAGGUGCUUGCAUCUUGAUUUAAUUUUGAACGAGUGGCGGACGGGUGAGUAACACGUGGGUAACCUGCCCUUAAGUGGGGGAUAACAUUUGGAAACAGAUGCUAAUACCGCAUAAAUCCAAGAACCGCAUGGUUCUUGGCUGAAAGAUGGCGUAAGCUAUCGCUUUUGGAUGGACCCGCGGCGUAUUAGCUAGUUGGUGAGGUAACGGCUCACCAAGGCAAUGAUACGUAGCCGAACUGAGAGGUUGAUCGGCCACAUUGGGACUGAGACACGGCCCAAACUCCUACGGGAGGCAGCAGUAGGGAAUCUUCCACAAUGGACGCAAGUCUGAUGGAGCAACGCCGCGUGAGUGAAGAAGGCUUUCGGGUCGUAAAACUCUGUUGUUGGAGAAGAAUGGUCGGCAGAGUAACUGUUGUCGGCGUGACGGUAUCCAACCAGAAAGCCACGGCUAACUACGUGCCAGCAGCCGCGGUAAUACGUAGGUGGCAAGCGUUAUCCGGAUUUAUUGGGCGUAAAGCGAGCGCAGGCGGUUUUUUAAGUCUGAUGUGAAAGCCCUCGGCUUAACCGAGGAAGUGCAUCGGAAACUGGGAAACUUGAGUGCAGAAGAGGACAGUGGAACUCCAUGUGUAGCGGUGAAAUGCGUAGAUAUAUGGAAGAACACCAGUGGCGAAGGCGGCUGUCUGGUCUGUAACUGACGCUGAGGCUCGAAAGCAUGGGUAGCGAACAGGAUUAGAUACCCUGGUAGUCCAUGCCGUAAACGAUGAAUGCUAGGUGUUGGAGGGUUUCCGCCCUUCAGUGCCGCAGCUAACGCAUUAAGCAUUCCGCCUGGGGAGUACGACCGCAAGGUUGAAACUCAAAGGAAUUGACGGGGGCCCGCACAAGCGGUGGAGCAUGUGGUUUAAUUCGAAGCAACGCGAAGAACCUUACCAGGUCUUGACAUCUUUUGAUCACCUGAGAGAUCAGGUUUCCCCUUCGGGGGCAAAAUGACAGGUGGUGCAUGGUUGUCGUCAGCUCGUGUCGUGAGAUGUUGGGUUAAGUCCCGCAACGAGCGCAACCCUUAUGACUAGUUGCCAGCAUUUAGUUGGGCACUCUAGUAAGACUGCCGGUGACAAACCGGAGGAAGGUGGGGAUGACGUCAAAUCAUCAUGCCCCUUAUGACCUGGGCUACACACGUGCUACAAUGGAUGGUACAACGAGUUGCGAGACCGCGAGGUCAAGCUAAUCUCUUAAAGCCAUUCUCAGUUCGGACUGUAGGCUGCAACUCGCCUACACGAAGUCGGAAUCGCUAGUAAUCGCGGAUCAGCACGCCGCGGUGAAUACGUUCCCGGGCCUUGUACACACCGCCCGUCACACCAUGAGAGUUUGUAACACCCGAAGCCGGUGGCGUAACCCUUUUAGGGAGCGAGCCGUCUAAGGUGGGACAAAUGAUUAGGG